rnacentral:misc_RNA from 1 species
UGGUCAUGAUGUUUGUUGCAGGAAUAGA